AUUGAACGCUGGCGGCAUGCCUUACACAUGCAAGUCGAACGGUAACGGGCCUUCGGGUGCCGACGAGUGGCGAACGGGUGAGUAAUACAUCGGAACGUGCCCGAUCGUGGGGGAUAACGAGGCGGAAGCUUUGCUAAUACCGCAUACGAUCUACGGAUGAAAGCAGGGGACCGCAAGGCCUUGCGCGGACGGAGCGGCCGAUGGCAGAUUAGGUAGUUGGUGGGAUAAAAGCUUACCAAGCCGACGAUCUGUAGCUGGUCUGAGAGGAUGAUCAGCCACACUGGGACUGAGACACGGCCCAGACUCCUACGGGAGGCAGCAGUGGGGAAUUUUGGACAAUGGGCGCAAGCCUGAUCCAGCCAUGCCGCGUGCAGGAUGAAGGCCUUCGGGUUGUAAACUGCUUUUGUACGGAACGAAAAGCCUUCUUUUAAUACAGGAGGGUCAUGACGGUACCGUAAGAAUAGGCACCGGCUAACUACGUG
rnacentral:rRNA from 1 species